rnacentral:rRNA from 1 species
UACGGAGGGGGCUAGCGUUAAUCGGAAUUACUGGGCGUAAAGCGUGCGUAGGCGGUUUCUUAAGUCUGCUGUGAAAUCCCCGGGCUCAACCUGGGAAUGGCGAUGGAUACUGGCGAGCUAGAGUGUGUCAGAGGAUGGUGGAAUUCCCGGUGUAGCGGUGAAAUGCGUAGAGAUCGGGAGGAACAUCAGUGGCGAAGGCGGCCAUCUGGGACAACACUGACGCUGAAGCACGAAAGCGUGGGGAGCAAACAGG